rnacentral:rRNA from 1 species
UACGUAGGGUGCAAGCGUUAAUCGGAAUUACUGGGCGUAAAGCGUGCGCAGGCGGUUCGCUGUGUCCGAUGUGAAAGCCCCGGGCUUAACCUGGGAAUGGCAUUGGAAACUGGCGGGCUUGAGUGUGGCAGAGGGGGGUGGAAUUCCGCGUGUAGCAGUGAAAUGCGUAGAGAUGCGGAGGAACACCGAUGGCGAAGGCAGCCCCCCUGGGCUAACACUGACGCUCAGGCACGAAAGCGUGGGGAGCAAACAGG